CUUCAUACGGUUUUCUUCAUGUUACUUCUACUCAAACUUUUACAGCUUCAGAAAUACCAGACACUGGUAAAUUACAGUAAUAUUAUUUCAGAAACAUAACUUCUUUUUUUUUUUUUUUUUUUUUUGGGGGGGGGGGGGGGUGCCAAAAAGUUUGCUAUUCCCGUAUUUAUCAUUUCAGACAAUUAUUCCAUACUGCCUAUUGGCUGUUGCCCUAUAUGGUAAUUUUUCAAAUCCUAUAACAGUGCCAUAGCUCCUGGGACCAGGCACACCACAGAUGAAAAGCAAGACUGCAACAGAUACACAAUGCUGCCUGUGUAAGGCAGUAUUGAUCUGACAGGUUCAGGUUUAUCAAGAAAAGAUCUAACUUUUGCAAGGCUGCAAAAGUCAAAUAAGAGUGAUAUAGUCAAGUAAGACAUACUUUUCCAGUGAUAAGAUUUUCUUUCUCACUUUCUUUCCUUGACCUAAGUUACUUAAUGAAGUGGUACAGACAGACUUUCAUCUCCUGAAAAUACUCUUGUUUUCUUAGAUUUUAUGAAGAAUUCUUACCUUAAUGGAAAGACGUGGAAAAGUUGAUGAUGGAAAAUUUUUCAUCUGUUGGUUUGGGUUUUUUUUGUUGGUUUUUUUUUUUCAGAUGCUCUUUAAGUCAAAUCUACAUGUAACUAUAUAUAUGUUAGUUUUCAGUCCCUUUGUAAACAUUUUUACAGAUGGGAAAGUAAGAUAAUGUCUUCAGCCAAGUAGGUAGAGAGGGUAUUUAAAAUACUCAGAAAAAAAAACAAAGAAUGCUUUGUUAUAAAAACAAAUCUAUCUUGACUUCUACAGAGCAGUGGAAGGUAAAUUUUCUCUCCCUUCCCCAAAUCUUCCUCCUUAAUUUGUUUACGUGAAGCUGUUUCUCAGGUGUAUUUACAUUUUCUUCUGCGGCUGGAUAUACUACUGAUCUGGAGAUAACCAUGCCUGUAGUUACCACAGAACCUCAUUUGUUAGAAACAACAUUGGAUUUAGGUGAAACGAAGCCUUUUUCUUCAAGAUCCAUAACAUCUGGCAUGCCAGAAAUGCCACCAGUCUCAGCUGCGACCCAGAGACGGGCUCCGGAAUCCACCUCGUCUGCUUCACCGGAAACCACGAGGACUGUGAUGGCUACCCGGCGACCAAGGCUGAAAUCUACCUCUUCUUCCCCCCUGGCGACCCAGCAAACAGUGACGGCUUCGAAUAACCUUCUUCAUGUUACUUCCACUUCCCAAAUAUCUGCAUCUGCAAAAAUGUCAGAGACAGAGACUGCUACCCAGGAGCCAGGCCUGGAAUUCACAUCUCUUCCCUCCAUGGAAACCACAGAGAGCGUGAUGGGUAAAUAGCAUGUAAUUCCAUUACCAUUUCUCAUUCCUUGCCAUCACGUGGACAAUGCUAAAAUUCAUUCAAACACAUUGCUUUGAAGACUACUUGAUAAAAGGCGCUUUUUAAAAAAAAAUUAUUUCUUCCCAUCUCAACCAUUUCUUUGUAAUCAACUUUAUUUCAAAGAAUAGGUACUUAAAAAUCAGUAAGAAUAAUUCUACCUAGCAUGAGAUAUCAGCAUUGACCUUACUUCACCUCAUGCCAGCUUCAGUGUUCAUGUAGCACCUCAUUUCACAGUCAUCUCUAAAGCUGCUGCUAUCUUGCUUGAUCACAUCCGUGUUGUCUUGAACUGCUCAACAGCUGCUGUUCAAAUACUGUGGCUCUGAGGUCCAUUUUCAUUUUAACUCCAGAUUUUAUUUCAGCUUUUGAUGAAAAGCAGCCUGUUUCUUCAAGAUCUGAAACAUCUGGCAUCCAAGAAAUGCUGUCAGCUGUACCUGGUAAUAGUUGAAAAUG
rnacentral:lncRNA from 1 species